rnacentral:rRNA from 1 species
AACGAACGCUGGCGGCGCGCCUAAUACAUGCAAGUCGAACGAGAAGCUGUAGCAAUACAGUUGUACAGUGGCGAACGGGUGAGGAAUACAUGGGUGACCUACCCUCGAGUGGGAAUAACCAGCCGAAAGGUUGGCUAAUACCGCGUACGCUUCCCAGUCUACGGGUUGGGAAGGAAAGCGAUGCCGUGGGUAUCGCGCUCAAGGUUGGGCUCAUGUCCUAUCAGCUAGNGGUUGGGGUAACGGCCGUACCAAGGCGUCGACGGUAGCUGGUCUGAGAGGACGACCAGCCACACUGGGACUGAGACACGGCCAGACUCCUACGGGAGGCAGCAGUAGGGAAUCUUGCGCAAUGGGCGAAAGCCUGACGCAGCAACGCCGCGU